GUAUGGCCAAAGGGAAAAGGCAACGGUCUUCUAAACCGUUAUUUGCAGGUUCGAAUCCUGUUACG
rnacentral:tRNA from 1 species